rnacentral:rRNA from 1 species
GGCUCAGGACGAACGCUGGCGGCGUGCUUAACACAUGCAAGUCGAGCGGUAAGGCCUUUCGGGGUACACGAGCGGCGAACGGGUGAGUAACACGUGGGUGAUCUGCCCUGCACUCUGGGAUAAGCCUGGGAAACUGGGUCUAAUACCGGAUAUGACUGCAGCAUGCAUGUGCUGUGGUGGAAAGCUUUUGUGGUGCAGGAUGGGCCCGCGGCCUAUCAGCUUGUUGGUGGGGUAAUGGCCUACCAAGGCGACGACGGGUAGCCGACCUGAGAGGGUGACCGGCCACACUGGGACUGAGACACGGCCCAGACUCCUACGGGAGGCAGCAGUGGGGAAUAUUGCACAAUGGGCGGAAGCCUGAUGCAGCGACGCCGCGUGAGGGAUGAAGGCCUUCGGGUUGUAAACCUCUUUCAGCAGGGACGAAGCGCAAGUGAC